rnacentral:rRNA from 1 species
AUGUCGACCACAUGCUACCAUGUUUCUCACAUCAACAACCUUGCUUCUAGCCACCGAGAACCUAGAUCCCCGAGUCGCCAUAACAUUAGGAGUAGGCUGACUUAUGCAGAUCUGGAUGUGGAUCCGGAGAGAACUCAUAUCCGACUUUCCCCUUCGGCAGCAAAUAUGUUUUUUGAUCUUCCAUUAAUUCUUUACCAUAUCAAAAAUUCCCUUGGUCGCCAUAGCAUUAGGAGUCGGCUAACCUACGCAGAUUUGGAUGUGGAUCCGGUGAGAACUCAUAUCCGACUUCCCCCUUCGGCAAUAGAUUAG